AAUAAGGUGCCUGAAUAAAAGGGCUAUCUUGAUAGGAUAGAUCAUGCAAUAAUAUUGCUCUUAUUA
rnacentral:tRNA from 2 species